rnacentral:tRNA from 1 species
UGGGGGAUAGUCUAAGGGCAGGACAGAUGACUUUGACUCAUCCAGUCUAGGUUCGAAUCCUAGUCCCCCAGCCA